rnacentral:rRNA from 1 species
CUUAGGGAGGAGCUUGCGUCACAUUAGUUAGUUGGUGGGGUAAAGGCCUACCAAGACUAUGAUGUGUAGCCGGGCUGAGAGGUUGAACGGCCACAUUGGGACUGAGACACGGCCCAAACUCCUACGGGAGGCAGCAGUAGGGAAUUUUCGGCAAUGGAGGAAACUCUGACCGAGCAACGCCGCGUGAACGAUGAAGUAUUUCGGUACGUAAAGUUCUUUUAUUAGGGAAGAAUAAAUGAUGGAAAAAUCAUUCUGACGGUACCUAAUGAAUAAGCCCCGGCUAACUAUGUGCCAGCAGCCGCGGUAAUACAUAGGGGGCAAGCGUUAUCCGGAAUUAUUGGGCGUAAAGGGUGCGUAGGCUGUUAAAUAAGUUUAUGGUCUAAGUGCAAUGCUCAACAUUGUGAUGCUAUAAAAACUGUUUAGCUAGAGUAAGAUAGAGGCAAGUGGAAUUCCAUGUGUAGUGGUAAAAUGCGUAAAUAUAUGGAGGAACACCAGUAGCGAAGGCGGCUUGCUGGGUCUUUACUGACGCUGAGGCACGAAAGCGUGGGGAGCAAACAGGAUUAGAUACCCUGGUAGUCCACGCCGUAAACGAUGAGUACUAAACGUUGGGUAAAACCAGUGUUGAAGUUAACACAUUAAGUACUCCGCCUGAGUAGUACGUACGCAAGUAUGAAACUUAAAGGAAUUGACGGGACUCCGCACAAGCGGUGGAUCAUGUUGUUUAAUUCGAAGGUACCCGAAAAACCUCACCAGGUCUUGACAUGCUUCUGCAAAGCUGUANAAACACAGUGGAGGUUAUCAGUUGCACAGGUGGUGCAUGGUUGUCGUCAGCUCGUGUCGUGAGAUGUUGGGUUAAGUCCCGCAACGAGCGCAACCCUUAUUGUUAGUUGCCAGCACGUAAUGGUGGGGACUUUAGCAAGACUGCCANUGAU